rnacentral:rRNA from 1 species
UAGUCCACGCUGUAAACGAUGAGUGCAAGGUGCUGGGGGUCAAACCCCGGUGCCGCCGUUAACACAGUAAGCACUCCGCCUGGGGAGUACGUACGCAAGUAUGAAACUCAAAGGAAUUGACGGGGACCCGCACAAGUAGCGGAGCAUGUGGUUUAAUUCGAUGCAACGCGAAGAACCUUACCAGGGCUUGACAUAAAAGUGACGAGGGAUAGAGAUAUGCCUUUUCUCUUCAGAGACAGUUUUAC